rnacentral:rRNA from 1 species
GACGAACGCUGGCGGCGUGCUUAACACAUGCAAGUCGAACGAAGAGCGAUGGAAGCUUGCUUCUAUCAAUCUUAGUGGCGAACGGGUGAGUAACGCGUAAUCAACCUGCCCUUCAGAGGGGGACAACAGUUGGAAACGACUGCUAAUACCGCAUACGAUCUAAUCUCGGCAUCAAGGAUAGAUGAAAGGUGGCCUCUACAUGUAAGCUAUCACUGAAGGAGGGGAUUGCGUCUGAUUAGCUAGUUGGAGGGGUAACGGCCCACCAAGGCGAUGAUCAGUAGCCGGUCUGAGAGGAUGAACGGCCACAUUGGGACUGAGACACGGCCCAGACUCCUACGGGAGGCAGCAGUGGGGAAUCUUCCGCAAUGGACGAAAGUCUGACGGAGCAACGCCGCGUGAGUGAUGACGGCCUUCGGGUUGUAAAGCUCUGUUAAUCGGGACGAAAGGCCUUCUUGCGAAUAGUGAGAAGGAUUGACGGUACCGGAAUAGAAAGCCACGGCUAACUACGUG